rnacentral:snRNA from 1 species
GUGCUCACUUUGGCAGCAUAAGCAUAUAUGCUAAAAUUGGAAUGAUACAGAGAUGAUUAACAUGGCCCAUGUACAAGGAUGACACAUAAAUUUGUGAAGCAUUCCAUUAAAAA